CUAACCUGGGACUGCUUUCUGUCGGGUGCUUUGCAUUAAGCUUCUACUCCAACCUCAAAUGAAGACCUCUCGGUGGAGUAUGCAGCUUCUAUUUGUCAGGCUUUUCUCGGGGAUUGCACCCGAGAUGCUGGAUGUGGGGAACCAGCGCUUAGCCCAGUGUGCUAAUGAGAGGACCCAAUGGCAGGAUGAUGUUCUCAAUGGUUCUUUUAUUGAGAAACAAGGAUGCUUCAACAGCGAGAAACAAACACACAGAAGAUAAUCCAAACUCAGGAGAUAAUCCAAAAGCACAGAGGAUAUGAACAGGGCAAAAGGCCAUAAACUAAACAAGAUACAAAAUGUAGCUUUCACAAUAGCUACCUGAUGAAGGCUUUAAGAAGCCGAAAGCGGUUAGGGACCGCAACGAGAGACAGAAGCGGUGUGAGAACCGCAACAAGACACCAACCGGAACUAGCUAAGACUAGCGGCACCUGAGUGCGUGCGAUGGCUGCGUGUCCUUGAGGAAAGACUUCUAACGACCCGAUCAGGGCCACAGAGAUUAGCCAGGUAUUUAUACCCUGGCUAAUAGAGGGAAGUGACAAUCACAAAAACGC